rnacentral:misc_RNA from 1 species
UCACUGCUUGCGCAGGCAGUCUCCCAUGAGUCCCCGGCAUAACCCGCUGGCAACAUGGAACGAGGGUUGCUCUCGUUGCGGGACUUAACCCAACAUCUCACGACACGAGCUGACGACAACCAUGCACCACCUGUAAACCGGCCACAAGUGGCCGACACAUCUCUGCGCCGUUCCGUGCAUGUCAAGCCUAGGUAAGGUUCUUCGCGUUGCAUCGAAUUAAGCAACAUGCUCCGCCGCUUGUGCGGGCCCCCGUCAAUUCCUUUGAGUUUUAAUCUUGCGACCGUACUCCCCAGGCGGGAUGCUUAAAGCGUUAGCGGCGCCACCGAAGAGCAAGCUCCCCGACGGCUAGCAUCCAUCGUUUACGGCGUGGACUAC